rnacentral:rRNA from 1 species
UACGUAGGGGGCAAGCGUUAUCCGGAUUUACUGGGUGUAAAGGGAGCGUAGACGGCAGGGCAAGUCUGAUGUGAAAGGUCGGGGCCCAACCCCGGGACUGCAUUGGAAACUGUCCGGCUGGAGUACAGGAGAGGUAAGUGGAAUUCCUAGUGUAGCGGUGAAAUGCGUAGAUAUUAGGAGGAACACCAGUGGCGAAGGCGGCCUGCUGGACGAUGACUGACGUUGAGGCUCGAAAGCGUGGGGAGCAAACAGG